UUUGAAGUNUAAUAACCUAUAAUUUGUUUUNAUAAAAUAUAAUAGUAAGCUUUAAACCAGCUAUCUUUAAGAUUACGUUUUAGUUCAUUAUUUUCUAUUUUGAUUUUAUAAUUAUUUUAGGUUUUUUAUUAAGAUUAUAUAUUUAANUUUUAAAAUUUUUGUAAUAAUGAUAGAAUUAGUAUAUUUACUUGUAUAUAANUUUUUACCUUGUGAAUUUAUUAUAAGGAACUAGGCAAAAUUGAUUUCCGCCUGUUUAUCAAAAACAUGUCCUCUUGNAAAAUACUUUGAGGUCUGGCCUGCUCACUGAGCGGNNNAUUUUUAAAGAGCCGCGGUAUUUUGACCGUGCAAAGGUAGCAUAAUCAUUAGUCUCUUAAUUAGUGGCUGGAAUGAACGGCUUGACGAGAAAUCAACUGUCUCUUAAUAAAUUUUUGAAUUUAACUUUUAAGUCAAAAGGCUUAAAUUUUUCUUUAGGACGAGAAGACCCUAUAGAGCUUAACAUUUUACUUUUAUAUAGUUUUUUGUUUGUCUUUCUAUAUUUAAUGAUGAUGUUUUGUUGGGGUGACAUGAAGAAUAAAUAAACUCUUCAUUAUUAUAUCAUUUAUAUAUGUUUGUUGUUUUGAUCCAUAAUUUAUGAUCAUAAGAUUAAGUUACCUUAGGGAUAACAGCGUAAUUGUUUUUGAGAGCUCAUAUCGACAAAGCAGAUUGCGACCUCGAUGUUGGAUUAAGAAAAAUUUUGGGUGCAGUAGCCCAGUAAUUAGGUCUGUUCGACCUUUAAAUUCUUACAUGAUCUGAGUUCAGACCGGCGUGAGCCAGGUCGGUUUCUAUCCUAAGAUUNAUUAAUUCGUAUUAGUACGAAAGGACCAUAUGGUUGAAAUANNUUUUUUAUUUUAUNUGAUUAAUAUUAAUUAAAUU
rnacentral:rRNA from 1 species